GGCACAAUAUUUGGCAAAAAGCGGGAUUCUUCAUUUUGGAACCCGCGUCUCCAAAAUUUCACUUACAACUGUCAUGAAAAAUCCCCAAAUUCAAAACCCUAUCUUCCUCAUCUCUACUUCAACUUCCCCGUGUUCCUUCACACCCUCGGCCCCCUGUUUCAUCUUUCGACUCUUCUUCUUCACCGGCGCCAUCAACUCCCGUUGGUUAUCAAGCGGCCAUCGUCCUAAGAUUAAUCAAACUGGCUGCUAGAUACGAUGACCUUAAUUACUUGAAAGGGUUAUAAUCUCCUGGAGUACCUGCUGAUAUCAUAUUUCACAAGGUUUUUCAAGGCCGAGCAGGAGCUGAAGAACCUCGAGAAUAAAUUCGAGAAAGGUAUUAGCUGAAUUCUGUCCAAAAAGGUAAGGAUUUACGAAAGGGAUGUUAUAAAAUUUGGUUUGUUGGCUCUCCUACGUACUGAAUGCCAUCUAGCAAGAGUGCGGGAUGGAAAUAACCGAAUCCCCUACACAAAAACAACCUGCUAGUUGUGCACAUCAGUUUUAGUUGCUUCGGUCUACUAUUUAAGGUACACAUUCUGAUUUUGUAUUAGUCUUUCUAUUUAAUUUCAAUGACUGUUUUAUGACUUACUUUAUGAAGGCUAGAAUCACCUCCAAGGUCUUAUAUUCUCUGUAAGGCUUAGUUGCUUACGAUGUCUUAACAUAUUUCAGAUAGCUUGGUGGUGAGAAUGGUAUUUCGUCCUUUUGAAGAAAGCUCAUAUACAAUAUUUGCGAGAAGAUUCUAAAGAUAGAAGGAAGGAUCUAGGGCGCCGCCUCAUCGAAGGCUUAAAGCUUGUAUUGCUGAUUGGUAUGUCCUAUUUAGUUGCUUUAUUGAUUUACCGUCUUUUAUUUUCCACUUUAUAUGGAAUAUUUUGAUUAUCAAUAACUCAUUUAAUUUGGUGCAUGAAUAAAACCUUGUAAGUACCUGAAUAUAAAUGGUGCAACAGCUUCAGGUGCUAUUUGAACUAUGAAGUCCAUAUCUAUCAUUUUUACUCGAUUACUAUUGUUUUUCAUAUUUAGAUACGUGUUUAAGAGAUAUGCAAUAGGAGUGUUCUGUCUUGGAUUUGCUUACCUGGUAUCAUAAUGUGCAG